AAAAAAAAAAAAAAAAAACAGAAAAAGUUCAAAAAAAAUAAUAAGCUUCUGAAAAAAAACAUAAGUGAACUUUCAUGUUAGAAACCCGUUUUUCCUCUAUUUGCGAAUUUUGAGGUAAUCAUUUUUAAUCUAAUACGAAGACACUGAUCUUCUUUUCACUCCGUUUUCCGAUAGAUUGUGAAAGAAGAGAUAUCAUUUCCUUUAAAGCGUGUAAAAUCGUUUAUGAAAAGUGUUUUUAACCCGUACUAGGCGACGUUGCUCUUUGAUAAUUCAGCCACGAGCAUUGAACGGAUCAGCUAAGACUCGACAGGGAACAAACCUUCAUCAAACAACGAGUCGAAUCAAGAAGAACUGUCUUUCUCAAAGCAAGUGACUAGGAGGCAAAGAUUUUAGGGACAAGAGAGUGGAAUAGAAGAGAGAAAGGAAACGAGGGAUAGACGAAUUGGAGGGUCGCACUCGUGGAUGGAAACGGAUCCAGGGCAGAGAAGAGGAAGCAAGUUUGCAAAGGCGGUGCGGUGGUUGCGUGGGAUAAGAUAUUGAAAUAUUAUUCUAUUCUGAUGGCAUUCAGAGAAAUAUCCGUUAAAAGGACUGUUGAUCAUCGUUGAAGGGAGAAAUGAAAUCUUCUCAGAACUAUCGAUCACGUUGUAAUAAAAGGAAAAUAAAAAUACCAGAGUUUUUCUAAACGAGAAGACUGUAAGAUAACCACUGAACCAGAAUUAAGAGUCUAUCACAAGAAACAGUUUCACUUGUUGCUUAUUCCAAAGGCAUUCAAGGAUCUAUAAAGUGAUUCUCAAACUAUUCUCCAGAGGAAAACUGUGGUGGAAUAAUCGUGGAGAUCUUUGACUUACCAACAUCACCAUCACCCAGAAUUACGUGAUGAAGGAUGAAGAGCACCAACAGCUCCGAGCCUCCUCGCAACCACCGUUUACGGCCCAUAGAUCUUCCUAUAAUUACGUAUAUUCAAUUUAGUUUCUUAUUCAAAACCAAACAGAUAUCUCUCUCUAUAUAUAUUUAUCUUUUUUUUUCAUUUAAUCUGAACCUUAUAGUAACGAUAGCUUUUUUUUUUGUGAAAGAAGAAAAAUUAUCUUGAACAGAAAUAAAGAUAAAUUAGAGUAAGCUAAUUACUGUUUCUUUGAAGUUCAUGGUUCGAAGUUGGUUGCAUAUUCAUUUUCAUUAAUGAAAGAACAUGGAUCUUCAUUUUUAAUGAGAUAAAACGGAGUAAAAGAAGAAACAGAAAGCGAGUUAGAAAAUAUGUGAAAGAUUGCGGUCAACAUGUAGAAAUGAAGUACAGGUACGUCUCUAAUUAUGCGUUGAUAAUUAUGACGAUUCAUUUUUUUGUUUCAAUAUCUUUUCAUUUAUAUUCGAUAUAGAUAUUUAUAGAUUAUAAUUGUCUCUAAUCAUUGUUGUUAAUUAAUGAUAUUAUAACAAAUUUAAAAGCACCAUCAAAUUUGAAAGAAUAUCUAUCAAAAGAUUCUUAUUCUUUGACAUACUUCCUGUAUAUAUAUAAUAUCUUUUAGUAUGAUAAAUAAUUAUAUUUACAACAAUUUUGUCGACACAAAUAUCUAUUUAAAUUAUUCAGUUAAAAUAUAACAAAAUACAAUUAGAAACCGUUCACUUGCGAGAUUUCAAUUCCACAAUGGAAAAUAAUUCGCGAUAUGUAUUACACUGUGGAAAAGUGUACAAGCUGUUCGGCUCGCUGUACGUGAGUUACAUGGCAACUUGUUGAAGUAACCGAGUUGUUCAUCAGGUCAGAAACUGUUUUGUCGAAUGCAAGAGCUUCGUUAAAAUCUUCCAAAAGGAAUAAAAUUACUGUAUUAAUCUAAUUUCUUCACUGUUGUGAAUAACGAAUCGCUUCAUAAAGGGUGCGGUAUACCUUUGCGUAACGUUUACGCAAUCACGGUGUAUACCCCCAUAGUCAAAUGACACCAAAGCGAGAGCAAAGCAAAUUAAUAACAGCACGGAAAAUAGCUUACUUAAAAUCCGGAGUUCAGACUCGACCAAUAGUUCCAAUGUAAUUACUCCUCUAAUUACUCCAAUCUCGAUUACCAUCCAAUAAAAACAGCUGUUUGUUCUGUCUCUUCUCAACAA